AGGAUAGGCAGGAAGAGGGAGCACAUUUCAAAUUUCUCUCCUGAGAGUGGCCUUUAUUUGUUCAUUUUCUGACAAAGAGUUAGGAGUGGGAUGAAUCUAAAGGCAGGUGAACUAUGAUACUCGCAGAGACCAGAUACUUCAGAAAAUUGCAACUAUUUUUGGCUAGAGCUCAAUCAUUACAGAAACAGAAUAAAAAUUCUGAAGACUUCUAAGCUGAACUCGUACAUAGCUAGAGUGCCCCCUAGGAGGCCCUUCACACCAUUGAAAGAUCUUCAGUUGGACUGUGUUCACUUCUCCAGAGCUGCUGCCAUUCUAGUCCGAUUAGCCACAAAAUGAAGAGCAGCAUUUAUCCCUGGGAUCACACACCAGAGCCGAGUGGGAAGAGCAGUGUGGCCAGAUGGCAAAGAGACUGGAACAGCAGCAAGGAGUGAACCCUUUCUAAGGAUUGCCUCGGCAUUGUUUCCAACACCCCGUAUUUCAGAA